UACGAGGGGGGCGAGCGUUGUUCGGAAUUAUUGGGCGUAAAGGGUGCGUAGGCGGUUUGGUAAGUCUGAUGUGAAAUCUAUGGGCUCAACUCAUAGUCUGCAUCGGAAACUGCCGGGCUUGAGUAUGGGAGAGGUGAGUGGAAUUCCUGGUGUAGCGGUGAAAUGCGUAGAUAUCAGGAGGAACACCAGUGGCGAAGGCGGUUGCCUGGGGCUUUGCUGACGCUGAUGCGCGAAAGCGUGGGGAGCGAUCCGG
rnacentral:rRNA from 1 species